rnacentral:rRNA from 1 species
AAUGAACGUUGGCGGCGUGCCUAACACAUGCAAGUCGAAGGAGAAGCCGGGCUUCGGCCCGGUGGAAACUGGCGCACGGGUGAGUAACGCGUGGGUAUCUACCUCGGGGUGGGGAAUAACCGCUGGAAACGGCGGCUAAUACCGCAUACGCCUUCAGAGGGAAAGCUCCGGCGCCCUGAGAGGAGCCCGCGUUGGAUUAGCUUGUUGGUGGGGUAAUGGCCUACCAAGGCUACGAUCUAUAGCUGGUCUGAGAGGAUGAUCAGCCACACUGGGACUGAGACACGGCCCAGACUCCUACGGGAGGCAGCAGUGGGGAAUAUUGGACAAUGGGCGCAAGCUUGAUCCAGCCAUGCCGCGUGAGUGAAGAAGGCCUUAGGGUUGUAAAGCUCUUUCACCUGCGAAGAUGAUGACGGUAGCAGGAGAAGAAGCCCCGGCUAACUCCGUG